GUGAGACAUUUCAACUGAGACACUACACAGGUGUCAAAAGGCAUCAUUAUGGAGUAAAGGGGGUGGCGUCAAAAGGCGUCAUUAUGGAGGAAAAGGGGUGGCGUCAAAAGGCUUCAUUAGGGACUUAUCAUUUUUUACCUGGGAGUGGGGGCUGGUCAUUUUGAAAUCAAACAUAAAAUUUUCUUGAUCCCCCCAUAAUAUUUCACUAUUUCUAUGUGACACCCCCCUGUGAAAACAUUUAAAAAAUAUGAUCCCCCUUUUAUUAAACAUGCCAAAAUUUUAACAUGCAAAACACUUAUCAAAAUGUUACUUCAUGGAAAUAUUGCAAAUCUUUUGGAUUAUGUCCAAAAACCGAAUUUGCCUUGAAAUAGGGCUCUUCCGUGACUAAAAGUAGGUAGAGCAAGUCAAAUCUUUGUGAAGCUUUUUCUUACUUUUUUUUUCUAAUUUUCUAUAUUGGGCUAUUACAGAAAACUUGCUUCUAAGUAACUCUGUAAAAAAAGGAAACAGUAAUAACACAUAAUUUACUCAGAGGAAUCUAUUAUAUGUUUUACGUUAGGCUUUGGUGAAACCUCCAUUGAGUCGAUAAACUUGUAUAUGGAUAGUUCAUGCUUUCAGCAUGAACAAUUUAAUUACUCAUUUAUUGUCA
rnacentral:lncRNA from 1 species